AGAGUGGAGGGUUUAGAAAGUCAAAAAAGUUUUAAAAAUGCAUUGGCAAGUGUACAUACUUGAAUGUAGAUUAGCUACAUGAAAAAUCUAAUCUACAAGGUUUACAAGAAUGAACUGGCACAUAUAUGGGGGAAAAAUCUGUGUUGGCAUCCACAUUCAGCCUUUCUUCCUCUUGACAUUAGUCUUCUUUUUUGACUUUCUAAACCCUCCACUCU
rnacentral:misc_RNA from 1 species